UACGAAGGGGACUAGCGUUGUUCGGAAUUACUGGGCGUAAAGCGCACGUAGGCGGAUUUGUUAGUCAGGGGUGAAAUCCCGGGGCUCAACCUCGGAACUGCCUUUGAUACUGCAAGUCUCGAGUCCGAUAGAGGUGGGUGGAAUUCCUAGUGUAGAGGUGAAAUUCGUAGAUAUUAGGAAGAACACCGGUGGCGAAGGCGGCCCACUGGAUCGGUACUGACGCUGAGGUGCGAAAGCGUGGGGAGCAGACAGG
rnacentral:rRNA from 1 species